CGGCGGACGGGUGAGUAACGCGUGGGUAACCUGCCUCAUACAGGGGGAUAACAGUUAGAAAUGGCUGCUAAUACCGCAUAAGACCACAGCACCGCAUGGUGCAGGGGUAAAAACUCCGGUGGUAUGAGAUGGACCCGCGUCUGAUUAGCUGGUUGGUGGGGUAACGGCCUACCAAGGCGACGAUCAGUAGCCGGCCUGAGAGGGUGACCGGCCACAUUGGGACUGAGACACGGCCCAA
rnacentral:rRNA from 1 species